GAUGAAGAACGCAGCGAAAUGCGAUAAGUAAUGUGAAUUGCAGAAUUCAGUGAAUCAUCGAAUCUUUGAACGCACCUUGCGCUCUUUGGUAUUCCGAAGAGCAUGCCUGUUUGAGUGUCAUGAAAAUAUCAACCUUGACUUGGGUUUUGUGCUCUAGUCUCGGCUUGGAAUUGGAUGCUUGCCGCUUUUACGAGCGGCUCACCUUAAAUGUAUUAGCUGGAUCUGUCUUUGAGACUUGGUUUGACUUGGCGUAAUAAGUAUUUCGCUAAGGACAUUCUUCGGAGUGGCCUCGUUUCUAGGACGCUUGUCCGCUUUCCAAUACAAGUUCCACCUCGUGGACAUGACUUUUUAUUAUCUGGCCUCAAAUCAGGUAGGACUACCCGCUGAACUUAAGCAUAUCAAUAAGCGGAGGA
rnacentral:misc_RNA from 1 species